GACGAACCGUGCGAACGUUGUUCGGAUUCACUGGGCUUAAAGGGCGCGUAGGCGGACAAUCAAGUCAGGGGUGAAAGCCUCCAGCUCAACUGGAGAAGUGCCUUUGAUACUGACUGUCUCGAGGGAGGUAGGGGCAUGUGGAACUUCCGGUGGAGCGGUGAAAUGCGUAGAUAUCGGAAGGAACGCCGGUGGCGAAAGCGACGUGCUGGACCUCUUCUGACGCUGGAGGCGCGAAAGCUAGGGGAGCAAACGGG
rnacentral:rRNA from 1 species